AGCUCCAAUAGCGUAUAUUAAAGUUGUUGCGGUUAAAAGCUCGUAGUUGGAUUUCUGUUGAGGGCGGGCGGUCCGCACUACGUGCGUGUAUCUGUUACGACCUCGGCAUCCUCUUGAAGAACAGUUCGGUGAUUCAGUUCGCCGGCUGGAAUUCAAGACUUUUACUUUGAGGAAAUUAGAGUGUUCACGGCAAGCAAUCGCUUUGAAUACAUUAGCAUGGAAUAAUAAUAUAGGACCUUGGUACUAUUUUGUUGGUUUCUAGAACUAAGGUAAUGAUUAAUAGGGAUAAUUGGGGGCAUUCGUAUUAACACGUCAGAGGUGGAAUUCUUGGAUUGUGUUACGACGAACUACUGCGAAAGCAUUGCCAAGGAUGUUUUCA
rnacentral:rRNA from 1 species